CACGUAGGGGGCAAGCGUUGUCCGGAUUUAUUGGGCGUAAAGAGCUCGUAGGCGGUUCGGUAAGUCGGGUGUGAAACCUCCAGGCUCAACCUGGAGACGCCAUCUGAUACUGCCGUGGCUUGAGUCCGGUAGAGGAGCAGGGAAUUCCUGGUGUAGCGGUGAAAUGCGCAGAUAUCAGGAGGAACACCAGCGGCGAAGGCGCUGCUCUGGGCCGGUACUGACGCUGAGGAGCGAAAGCGUGGGGAGCGAACAGG
rnacentral:rRNA from 1 species